AUUAUUCCUGGAGUACCUGGUGCUCCUCCUCCACCGGCUGCAUGGCUGACUGAAGCUACAGCCUGGCCCUAAUUUUGCAGCUAGUCUGAACAAGCACAGUAAACAGUUCAAAGCAUUCCUGGCACCGAGGAGCAGACAUAAGCAAGAAAUGUCUUUUACCAGUCGAUAUCCCAAAACGACAGAAUAUAUUUUCCAGUUAUGAACUGUGGAAAAGAAUUAUGAGUUAUGAACUCCAGAUAGACAGUUUGUACUGUACCUUCCAUUUCAGCCAGAGAUGUGAAACAGAUUCUUGAAUCUGCAGUCAGAACAAGAUCUCCCACUGACGUCACUGUUAGGAUAGACAGAUUUUUCCAAACAGGGGAACAGAUACGAUUGUGGCAAAUAUUCUUCAGUAAGAAACCAAGUGACUACCAGUGGGACACAGAAAAAAAAGAAGACAAGACAUGCACCAAGCCAAACAGCGAUCUGUUAUAGCGAGUGCAACUGAGAUCAGAAUCCGACUCACUGUCUCUUUUACACUGUCAAGGCAGCAGGCAGCUUCUCCGUGCAGGAACGGUGAUCCACUUCUAGAAAUCUCCCAGCUGCCACACCAUCCUCUGUGUUCAGUCUCCGGGUCUCCGUGGCAGUCAAAUUCUACCUGCUGGUAGAUGAAGCACACGGGAACAUGCACUGCCUAGGAGUAAAAAUGAUAAAGAACGAAGUCAGAUCAUCUUAAUUAUCUAAAUUCAAACUUACAUUUAAUGACUGGAUUUUCUACUGGGUUUGCACAACUGCUUCAUCUCAACAUUUUAAGCAUUUUGCUGUUUAAGCCAUAAGCUUCUUAAAGGGGGAGAGGGGAAAAAAGCCCUUGAUAUAAUACCAUGAAAUCAAAGAGCAAGCUGACUGGAAAAAACAGUUGCUAUAUUUAAACUGCAUUAUCCUAUCACAGAACUGCAGUUUUAAAGCCUUUCCACUUUGAUACAG